rnacentral:rRNA from 1 species
GACGAACGCUGGCGGCGUGCCUAAUACAUGCAAGUCGAACGGUCUUUUCUAUGGAAGCUUGCUUCCACUGGGAAGAUAGUGGCGAACGGGUGAGUAACACGUGGGUAACCUGCCCAUAAGAGGGGGAUAACAUCCGGAAACGGGUGCUAAUACCGCAUAGUUUUCUUGAUCGCAUGAUUGAGAAAGGAAAGACGGCCUUUGUGCUGUCGCUUAUGGAUGGACCCGCGGCGUAUUAGUUAGUUGGUGAGGUAACGGCUCACCAAGACGAUGAUACGUAGCCGACCUGAGAGGGUGAUCGGCCACAUUGGGACUGAGACACGGCCCAAACUCCUACGGGAGGCAGCAGUAGGGAAUCUUCCGCAAUGGACGAAAGUCUGACGGAGCAACGCCGCGUGAGUGAAGAAGGUUUUCGGAUCGUAAAACUCUGUUGUCAGAGAAGAACAAGUUGGAGAGUAACUGCUCCAGCCUUGACGGUAUCUGACCAGAAAGCCACGGCUAACUACGUGCCAGCCGCCGCAGUAAAAC